GACGAACGCUGGCGGCGUGCCUAACACAUGCAAGUCGCGGGAGGGCACCCUUCGGGGUGACCCGACCGGCGGACGGGUGAGUAACACGUGACCAAUCUACCUUCGAGAGGGGGAUAACCCGGGGAGACCUGGGCUAAUACCGCAUGACGUGCAGCGGCCGCAUGACCGUUGCAUCAAAGGGGGCCUCUGCUUGCAAGCUCCUGCUCGAAGAGGAGGUCGCGGCGUAUCAGCUAGUUGGUAGGGUAACGGCCUACCAAGGCUACGACGCGUAGCGGGUCUGAGAGGACGACCCGCCACAUUGGGACUGAGAUACGACCCAGACUCCUACGGGAGGCAGCAGUGGGGAAUAUUGCGCAAUGGCCGAAAGGCUGACGCAGCGACGCCGCGUGUGGGAGGAAGCCCUUCAGGGUGUAAACCACUGUCAGGGGGGAUGAACCCCUACCGGACAAAUAGCCCGGUAGGCUGACGGUACCCCCAGAGGAAGCGCCGGCUAACUCCGUGCCAGCAGCCGCGGUAAGAC
rnacentral:rRNA from 1 species